rnacentral:rRNA from 1 species
GAUGAACGCUGACAGAAUGCUUAACACAUGCAAGUCAACUGGGUGGCGGACGGGUGAGUAACGCGUAAAGAACUUGCCUCAAAGAUAGGGACAACAGUUAGAAAUGAAUGCUAAUACCUGAUACUGUGAGAGAGUUUUGCGUCCCAUUAGCUAGUUGGAGAGGUAACAGCUCACCAAGGCGAUGAUGGGUAGCCGGACUGGGAGGGUGAACGGCUACAAGGGGACUGGGACACUGCCCUUACUCCUACGGGAGGCAUCAGUGGGGAAUAUUGGACAAUGGAUCGAAGUCUGAUCCAGCAAUUCUGUGUGCACGAUGAAGUUUUUCGGAAUGUAAAGUGCUUUCAGUUGGGAAGCGGUACCAACAGAAGAAGUGACGGCUAAAUACGUGCCAGCAGCCGCGGUAAUAC